CCUACGGGUGACUGCAGUGAGGAAUAUUGGUCAAUGGGCGCGAGCCUGAACCAGCCAAGUCGCGUGAGGGAAGACGGUCCUAUGGAUUGUAAACCUCUUUUGUCGGGGAGCAAAAGACGCCACGCGUGGCGUUCCGAGAGUACCCGAAGAAAAAGCAUCGGCAAACUCCGUGCAAGCAGCCGCGGUAAUACGGAGGAUGCGAGCGUUAUCCGGAUUUAUUGGGGUAAAGGGGUGCGCAGGCGGAAGAUCAAGUCAGCGGUAAAAUUGAGGGGCUCAACCCCUUCGAGCCGUUGAAACUGGUUUUCUGGAGUGAGUGAGAAGUAUGCGGAAUGCGUGGUGUAGCGGUGAAAUGCAUAGAUAUCACGCAGAACUCCGAUUGCGAAGGCAGCAUACCGGCGCUCAACUGACGCUCAGGCACGAAAGUGUGGGUAUCGAACAGGAUUAGAUACCCUAGUAGUC
rnacentral:rRNA from 1 species